GCUCGGGCUCUUCCUGCAUGCCAGAAAUGGCCCACAAAAAAGAAGAAUCCUAAAACAAAAUGAGAAGUUGAUAACCAACUUCUAGGAGAGACAUAA
rnacentral:rRNA from 1 species